rnacentral:rRNA from 1 species
AAACUUUCAACAACGGAUCUCUUGGUUCUGGCAUCGAUGAAGAACGCAGCGAAAUGCGAUAAGUAAUGUGAAUUGCAGAAUUCAGUGAAUCAUCGAAUCUUUGAACGCACAUUGCGCCCCUUGGUAUUCCGAGGGGCAUGCCUGUUCGAGCGUCAUUUAACCUCUCAAGCUCUGCUUGGUGUUGGGUGCUGGCCCACCAGGGCCCGCCCGUAACUCGUUGGCGGUUGUCACCGGCUGAAAGCGUAGCAAAAUAUGCUGGAGCCCGGAGGCGGCCUGUCAGGUACCCACAAUCAAAAGUUUGACCUCGGAUCAGGUAGGGAUACCCGCUGAACUUAAGCAUAUCAAUAAGCGGAGGA